AUUGAACGCUGGCGGCAUGCCUUACACAUGCAAGUCGAACGCGAAAGGGGGGCAACCCCUGAGUAGAGUGGCGCACGGGUGAGUAAUGCAUCGGAACGUGUCCUGUAGCGGGGGAUAACCUAGCGAAAGCUAGGCUAAUACCGCAUACGCCCUAAGGGGGAAAGUGGGGGAUCGUAAGACCUCACACUAUAGGAGCGGCCGAUGCCGGAUUAGCUAGUUGGUGGGGUAAAAGCUCACCAAGGCGACGAUCCGUAGCUGGUCUGAGAGGAUGAUCAGCCACACUGGGACUGAGACACGGCCCAGACGCCUACGGGAGGCAGCAGUGGGGAAUUUUGGACAAGGGGGGAAACCCUGGUCCAGCCAUGCCGCGUGAGUGAAGAAGGCCUUCGGGUUGUAAAGCUCUUUCGGCCGGGACGAAAUCGCACGCGUGAAUAUCGUGUGCGGAUGACGGUACCGGCAGAAGAAGGACCGGCUAACUACGUGCCAGCCGCCGCAGUAA
rnacentral:rRNA from 1 species